rnacentral:rRNA from 1 species
AACGAACGCUGGCGGCAGGCUUAACACAUGCAAGUCGAGCGCCCCGCCAGGGGAGCGGCAGACGGGUGAGUAACGCGUGGGAACGUACCUUUUGGUUCGGAACAACUCCGGGAAACUGGAGCUAAUACCGGAUAAGCCCUAACGGGGAAAGAUUUAUCGCCGAAAGAUCGGCCCGCGUCUGAUUAGCUAGUUGGUGAGGUAACGGCUCACCAAGGCGACGAUCAGUAGCUGGUCUGAGAGGAUGAUCAGCCACACUGGGACUGAGACACGGCCCAGACUCCUACGGAGGGCAGCAGUGGGGAAUAUUGGACAAUGGGCGCAAGCCUGAUCCAGCCAUGCCGCGUGAGUGAUGAAGGCCUUAGGGUUGUAAAGCUCUUUUGUCCGGGAAGAUAAUGACUGUACCGGAAGAAUAAGCCCCGGCUAACUUCGUG